rnacentral:rRNA from 1 species
UACGAAGGGGGCUAGCGUUGCUCGGAAUCACUGGGCGUAAAGGGUGCGUAGGCGGGGCUUUAAGUCAGGGGUGAAAUCCCCGGGCUCAACCCGGGAACUGCGUCCGAUACUGGAAGGCUUGAAUCCGGGAGAGGGAUGCGGAAUUCCAGGUGUAGCGGUGAAAUGCGUAGAUAUCUGGAGGAACACCGGUGGCGAAGGCGGCAUCCUGGACCGGCAUUGACGCUGAGGCGCGAAAGCCAGGGGAGCAAACGGG